CACAAAAGGCAACCCAUGAUGCAUUGUGGCAUACAUAGAUUUAAGGAUUGACUAUGUUUUCAUCGUUAUUCAUUUCUCCUCAGCAGAUAUCACAAGCUACAGCUAAUUGUGUUAGGUAGUGAGUAAUCUUCACUACCAGAUUAUUUUUGUGCUAAAUGAAUUUAGUUAAAUGAAUUAGCCAGGAUAGAACAUCUAGCCUGGCUAAGUUUAGUGUAAAAAAAUAUUUAAUCAAAGGCAAGAAAAGGCCAAAUUUCAUGUGGUGUAAUGAAGGUAAAAGUCAGAAAAGGCAGGAUGGUUUCUGUAAGUUAGAAUAGAUGAUUGAGGAACAGUUUGAAUGUUUGAUUUAAAUUAUGUGGUCCAAUCAUCAUAUUUGGUUUAAUGGUCUUUAUUUUUGUUUAGAGUUGUAUGUACUCUGAAUAGCUGUGAGAGGAGAGAGGAGUCCACAUGGAGUUCCCAAAUACACAAUGUGAUUUUAAAAGCCUUCUAAUAUAAGUACUGUAAUCUCAACAAUAACAGAACGGGGUAAAGGAGUGGACUGAGGUAGCGGUGUGGAACUUGGUAAAGGUGUAGAACAUGGUAAAGGGGUGGACUGAGGGGGCGUGGAACGUAAUGAAGGUGAGGACUGAGGUAAAGGGGUGGACUGAGGGGGUGUGGAACGUAAUGAAGGUGAGGACUGAGGUAAAGGGGUGGACUGAGGGGGCGUGGAACGUAGUGAAGGUGAGAACUGAGGUAAAGGUGUGGCAUGAGGGGCCGUGGAACCUAAUAAAGGUGAGAACUGAGGUAAAGGGGUGGACUGAGGGGGCGUGGAACGUAGUGAAGGUGAGGACUGAGGUAAAGGUGUGGCAUGAGGGGCCGUGGAACCUAAUAAAGGUGAGAACCGAGGUAAAGGUGUGGCAUGAGGGGCCGUGGAACCUAAUAAAGGUGAGAAUUGAGGUAAAGGGGUGGACUGAGGGGGCGUGGAACGUAAUGAAGGUGAGGACUGAGGUAAAGGGGUGGACUGAGGGGGCGUGGAACGUAAUGAAGGUGAGGACUGAGGUAAAGGGGUGGACUGAGGGGGCGUGGAACCUAAUAAGGUGAGGACUGAGGUAAAGGGGUGGACUGAGGGGGCGUGGAACGUAAUGAAGGUGAGGACUGAGGUAAAGGGGUGGACUGAGGGGGCGUGGAACGUAAUGAAGGGGUGGACUGAGGGGGCGUGGAACGUAAUGAAGGUGAGGACUGAGGUAAAGG
ensembl:lncRNA